rnacentral:rRNA from 1 species
UACAGAGGGUGCGAGCGUUGUUCGGAAUUAUUGGGCGUAAAGGGCGCGUAGGCGGUGCCACAAGUCACUUGUGAAAUCCCCGGGCUUAACUCGGGGCCUGCAGGCGAAACUGUGGUGCUGGAGUAUGGGAGAGGUGCGUGGAAUUCCCGGUGUAGCGGUGAAAUGCGUAGAUAUGUCACAGAACACCAAUUGCGAAGGCAGCUUACUAUGGUAUGAUUGACGCUGAGGCACGAAAGCGUGGGGAUCAAACAGG